rnacentral:lncRNA from 8 species
GUGUGUGUGUGUGUGUGUGUGUGUGUGUGUGUGUGUGUGUGUGUGUGUGUGUGUGUGUGUGUGUGUGUGUCCGUUUUCAUUUGCGUCUUUGUGUGUGUCAGUUUGGGAGCCCUUCAUCGAGCCCUGGCCCUGUUUCAGCCUGCAGGGUGCCUCCAGCCACCGCGCCUCAAGAUGGGCAUCCACGCCAAGCAGACUGGACGUCAACAUCACCUCUGUCCUUUUGGAGAGCAGUACAGCCUCACCAAGAGCUCCUGGCUGGCUGACUACUGCAAGAAAGAGGAGCAGCCUCCCCAACCCUCGGCAGCCCUAUCCUGGAUGGGCCCCCCCCCCCGCCUCUGACAGAGUGAGUACUGUUUCCCCCAAGUUUACACACACACGCAUCACUUGUUAUGGGCUGAAAAUAGCCUCAGUAGAAAAAAGUAGAACCCUCAUACUCAAUUGCUCCAGCACAUUACUGUAUUAGUUAGCGGGUUGUUACAAAAAUCAGAUGUACUAUACGUUUGUUCUGGAGUAUAUGAUUGCGUGGUUCCCACUUUAUUCUAUGCUAAUGUUUCGAUAGUGCCAGCAUUUCUUUGUAUUUCUAUUUGUAUCACGUCAUGUUGUGUUGAUUUAAAAAUAAAAAAAAAUUGCAAUGCAACAAAGCUUUACACAGAUGCAUUGGAAACCUGCCUGAAUUAUUGCCGCCUUCGCAUGGUUAUUGCACAUUUGGAUUGUUUGACGAAAAUGAAAAUGUUGAUUCAAGUGUUGGGAAUGACUGUCUAUUUACACAGCUCCUUUGCCUUGUCAAAAUGGUGUAUUAAGAGUUAAGACCGGCUCUCAUGUUUUUGUUAAAUCAUUUUGGUAACUCUUUACUUUACGGUCCUAGGCCUAUAUAGGUCUAUUGUUUCAAAUUUUUAUGCUAUCAGCUAACAGCUACGACAUUUGUUAUGGCCUUAUUAUGACAGUGUGGGCCUUAUGGUGGAGGGCUUCAAGUCAAAGUAAGAUUGCUGUUAAGAUGCUAUUUAGCUUAGAUCCAGGUCUUUUAAUUGGUAGUAUGACCACAUAAUAUAAAAUAAAAUACACUUGUCAUGGUUGGUAUUAAAACAUGUAUCACGGCUGUCGAAAGGAAUAGAGGACCAAAGUGCAGCGUGUGUGUAGUUCCACAUAUUAUUUAAUCUGUGAAACUUUGCAAUACAUAAAUAAACUGAAAUCGACAAAACAACAAACCGUGACGCAGAGGAGAAACAAACACUACUCAAAAAUAAUCACCCACAAAACCCAGGAAGAAAAAAAACCCUACUUAAAUAUGAUCUCCAAUUAGAGACAACGAGGAUCAGCUGCCUCCAAUUGGAGAUCAUCCCAAACAAGCCAACAUACUAGAACAUACAAAAACUAGAACCUAAGAACAUAGAAAUAGAAAAACACAAAACACCCCCAUCACCCCCAAAAUAACAUCUUACUAUGGUCAGGACGUGACAACAUGUUUUUUUUUUAGUACACCCUGACCUUUGCCCUUUCUUCUGAGCCCUAGCACGUCUCUCCUCUCUGUGGUAACUGUCUCUCUCUGCUGUCAGGUGUCCCUCUUGCCUACCACAGUCAGUUUGACUUGCUUUGAGCAGCACAUUGACUCCAGAGGUACAGUCCAUAGAUCACAGAGAGGGCAGCGGUUGGCCUCCACCAUAGAAAUAUAAUAACUAGAAUGGUAAUCCCUAAGUAGAAUGAGUGGAUCGGUGUCCAGGAAGUAGUCAUAUUAUAUUUCUAUUGUAUCCACACCAUGGGUAUUCCCAUCCCAAUGCUUUUCCUUUAUCAUGUGUAUCAUCGCUAUCCUUACUUAAGUACACCGUUAAUGCAACGUUAUUACAGAGUGUUUUGUGUAACCCUAGUGUUUCACUAUCUUGUGACAAUAUUGGCAAAUUUGAUCCAUUGUUAAACUGAAGUCAGUAUAAUCAGCAUCCACAGAGACAGUAUUUUAUUGAUCCCCCCCCCCCCCCCCCCCUAGUUACAACAGAGCCAUUGUGUCUGGUGGGGCCAGAGUCGUGCUCUACCCUGUGGCUCAGUUGGUAGAGCAUGGUGUUUGCAACGCCAGCAUGGUGUGUGCAACGCCAGGGUUGUGGGUUUAAUUCCCACGGGGGGCCAGUACAAAUUUUUUUUUUUUUAAAUGCAUGAAAUGAAAUAUAUGCAUUCACUACUGUAAGUUGCUCUGGAUAAGAGCGUCUGCUAAAUGACAAAAAUGUAAAAAGUUAGAUGAUCUGUUUAUUCUCAGACUUUCCUUUUUUUUACUCUCUCUGUUUGUGUCAUGUUGUUUCACCUCCCCCAUUCAAUGUCAAUCUAUAUAAAUCCAAUCCAUUGUGAUUAUCAUUGUUUACUAUCAUUAUUUACCUGGUUUAUUUUUGGAGCAAGGGUGAGCCUCCUUCUCUGAUCUAGGCACUGCUCUAUGCUAACUGGAGACCAAAACUGAACAUGCAAGUUGAUCUUCUUGGUUGCAAAAAUACCAUGGACCAAGAGUAGGAUUUAAGUGUGAAUAAAUAUUUCUGCUUUAUCAAUGUGAACCGUUGGUGUGCAUCUUCCUCCUGUCCUAUUUGAAUGAGCAGCUUGGGGGUAGGUAUGGUCAUGUUGGAUAGUCCCAUGUCACGACUUCUGCCGAAGUCUGCUCCUCUCCUUGUUCGGGCGGCAUUCGGCGAUCGACGUCACCGGCUUCCAGCCAUCGCCGCUCCAUUUUUCAUAUGUCCAUUUGUUUUGUCUUGUUCCAUACACACCUGGUUUUCAUUCCCCAAUUAAUCUACAUGUAUUUAGUCCUCUGUUCCCCAUCAUGUCUUUGUGUGUAAUUGUUCAUUGUUAAUGGUGUAUGUUCACGCGCAAUACUUUUAUUGUUUAUGUUCCGUGUUUUUGGGCACUUAUGUCAUUUUUUGUGCCUAUUGUUUAACCUGUUAGGGCCAGGGGGCAGUAUUGACAUGGCCGGAUAAAAAACGUACCCGAUUUAAUCUGGUUACUACUCCUGCCCAGUAACUAGAAUAUGCAUAUAAUUAUUGGCUUUGGAUAGAAAACACCCUAAAGUUUCUAAAACUGUUUGAAUGGUGUCUGUGAGUAUAACAGAACUCAUAUGGCAGGCCAAAACCUGAGAAGAUUCCAUGCAGGAAGUGGCCUGUCUGACAAGUAGUGUUUCAUCUUGGCUCUUUUUAUUGAAGACUGAGGAUCUUUGCUAUAACGUGACACUUCCUACGGCUCCCAUAGGCUCUCAGAGCCCGGGAAAAAGCUGAAUGAUAUCGAGGCAGCCUCUGCCUGAAACACUUUAUCGCGUUUGGCAAGUGGCCGAUCAGAGUACUAUGGGCUUAGGCGCGUGCCCGAGUCGACCCCAUGCUUUAUUUUCUUUUGUCUGUUUACCUAAACGCAGAUUCCCGGUCGGAAUAUUAUCGUUUUUUAAUGAGAAAAAUGGCAUAAAAAUUGAUUUUAAACAGCGGUUGACAUGCUUCGAAGUACGGUAAUGGAAUAUUUAGAAUUUUUUUGUCACGAAUUGCGCCAUGCUCGUCACCCUUAUUUACCCUUUCGGAGAGUGUCUUGAACGCACGAACAAAACGCCGCUAUUUGGAUAUAACGAUGGAUUAUUUUGGACCAAACCAACAUUUGUUAUUGAAGUAGAAGUCCUGGGAGUGCAUUCUGACGAAGACAGCAAAGGUAAUAACAUUUUUCUUAUAGUAAAUCUGACUUUG